rnacentral:rRNA from 1 species
GACGAACCAAGCGAACGUUAUUCGGAAUUACUGGGCUUAAAGCGCGUGUAGGCGGAUUGCCACGUCGACUGUUGAAAUCCCCCGGCUUAACCGGGGUAACGAGCAUCGAUACGAGUAAUCUUGAGGUGGGUAGGGGAGGACUGGAACUUCCGGUGGAGCGGUGAAAUAGCGUAGAUAUCUGGGGGAACGAUCAGUGGCGAAGGCGGCUUCCUGGACCAACACUGACGCUGAGGCGCGAAAGCGUGGGGAGCAAACA